rnacentral:rRNA from 1 species
UACGUAGGGUGCGAGCGUUAAUCGGAAUUACUGGGCGUAAAGCGUGCGCAGGCGGUUCGUUGUGUCGGCGGUGAAAGCCCCGGGCUUAACCUGGGAAUGGCCGUCGAAACUGGCGAACUGGAGUGUGGCAGAGGGGGGUGGAAUUCCGCGUGUAGCAGUGAAAUGCGUGGAGAUGCGGAGGAACACCGAUGGCGAAGGCAGCCCCCUGGGCUGACACUGACGCUCAGGCACGAAAGCGUGGGGAGCGAACAGG